rnacentral:rRNA from 1 species
GAUGAACGCUAGCUACAGGCUUAACACAUGCAAGUCGAGGGGAAACGACAUCGAAAGCUUGCUUUUGAUGGGCGUCGACCGGCGCACGGGUGAGUAACGCGUAUCCAACCUGCCCACCACUUGGGGAUAACCUUGCGAAAGUAAGACUAAUACCCAAUGAUAUCCCACGAAGACAUCUGAAUGGGAUUAAAGAUUUAUCGGUGAUGGAUGGGGAUGCGUCUGAUUAGCUUGUUGGCGGGGUAACGGCCCACCAAGGCAACGAUCAGUAGGGGUUCUGAGAGGAAGGUCCCCCACGUUGGAACUGAGACACGGUCCAAACUCCUACGGGAGGCAGCAGUGAGGAAUAUUGGUCAAUGGGCGAGAACCUGGACCAGCCAAGUAGCGUGCAGGAAGACGGCCCUAUGGGUUGUAAACUGCUUUUAUAAGGGAAUAAAGUGGGUCACGUGUGACUUUUUGCAUGUACCUUAUGAAUAAGGACCGGCUAAUUCCGUG